AGUGAACGCUGGCGGUAGGCCUAACACAUGCAAGUCGAACGGCAGCACAGUAAGAGCUUGCUCUUACGGGUGGCGAGUGGCGGACGGGUGAGGAAUACAUCGGAAUCUACUUUUUCGUGGGGGAUAACGUAGGGAAACUUACGCUAAUACCGCAUACGACCUACGGGUGAAAGCAGGGGAUCUUCGGACCUUGCGCGAUUGAAUGAGCCGAUGUCGGAUUAGCUAGUUGGCGGGGUAAAGGCCCACCAAGGCGACGAUCCGUAGCUGGUCUGAGAGGAUGAUCCGCCACACUGGAACGGAGACACGGUCCAGACUCCUACGGGCGGCAGCAGUGGGGAAUAUUGGACAAUGGGCGCAAGCCUGAUCCAGCCAUACCGCGUGGGUGAAGAAGGCCUUCGGGUUGUAAAGCCCUUUUGUUGGGAAAGAAAAGCAGCAGGUUAAUACCCCGCUGUUCUGACGGUACCCAAAGAAUAAGCACCGGCUAACUUCGUG
rnacentral:rRNA from 1 species